rnacentral:rRNA from 1 species
AUUGAACGCUGGCGGCAUGCCUUACACAUGCAAGUCGAACGGCAGCACGGGAGCUUGCUCCUGGUGGCGAGUGGCGAACGGGUGAGUAAUGCAUCGGAACGUGCCAUUGAGUGGGGGGAUAACGUAGCGAAAGUCGCGCUAAUACCGCAUAUUCUGUGAGCAGGAAAGCAGGGGACCGCAAGGCCUUGCGCUCUUUGAGCGGCCGAUGUCAGAUUAGCUAGUUGGUGAGGUAACGGCUUACCAAGGCGACGAUCUGUAGCGGGUCUGAGAGGAUGAUCCGCCACACUGGAACUGAGACACGGUCCAGACUCCUACGGGAGGCAGCAGUGGGGAAUUUUGGACAAUGGGGGCAACCCUGAUCCAGCCAUGCCGCGUGAGUGAAGAAGGCCUCGGUGUAAGCUCUUCGCAGAGAAUACGCAU